rnacentral:misc_RNA from 1 species
CGCCCAUUAACUGCAAAAUUUCCUCCCACAGUCCCUCUGAUGAGGAAUCUGAUGUGCCUCCACCAAUUAGAUUUGAGCUACAAGCUGCCACAUACCAGUAAUUUGAUUCAAUCUCCUCCCUCAAUUGAUCCAGUUGCCAACCAGCAUAACCCACAAAGAAUCUGAAGUCCUGAGGUUUAAGGAUUCCCUUCUUCACCAGCACUGCAGCUUCGUCCAGGGUGUUUCGAGCACCAAAGCAGAGGCCUGGGAUCACUUCUUCAAAGCCAUGGAGUUUCGAUUUUUCUCCUGUCUUCAGCAAAAACAUGCUUGCCUCAAGAGGCCCCCCGAAAUGUAGAGAGCAAUCAGAAAAUGUAGUUGCUAAGUCAAUAUUGGUUGGUUUCAUAUGCUUGAUCUUUUUGUGGAGUGGGCGAUUUAUCACGACACCGAACGGUCCCUCAUGAGGAUGUCUGCUUCCAGAUCUGAGGAGAAGGACGACUGUUCGCUCAAAAGUGCGAACACCAUCCAACUUCUCGGUGGCAACAAGGACACAGCCAGUCUCCGGCAUAGGAAUAGGAUG